AGCGAACGCUGGCGGCAGGCUUAACACAUGCAAGUCGAGCGGGCGUAGCAAUACGUCAGCGGCAGACGGGUGAGUAACGCGUGGGAACGUACCUUUUGGUUCGGAACAACACAGGGAAACUUGUGCUAAUACCGGAUAAGCCCUUACGGGGAAAGAUUUAUCGCCGAAAGAUCGGCCCGCGUCUGAUUAGCUAGUUGGUGAGGUAACGGCUCACCAAGGCGACGAUCAGUAGCUGGUCUGAGAGGAUGAUCAGCCACAUUGGGACUGAGACACGGCCCAAACUCCUACGGGAGGCAGCAGUGGGGAACAUUGGACAAUGGGCGCAAGCCUGAUCCAGCCAUGCCGCGUGAGUGAUGAAGGCCCUAGGGUUGUAAAGCUCUUUUGUGCGGGAAGAUAAUGACGGUACCGCAAGAAUAAGCCCCGGCUAACUUCGUGCCAGCCGCCGCAGUAAGAC
rnacentral:rRNA from 1 species